UAAAUGUUUUUAUUAGUUAACGUAUUCUAGUUUUUUCUUCGCUAUUCUACUCUGUUUUUCACAAAGACACCCCCUUCUCCUUCUUCUUCUUCUUCUUCAUCAUUCACUCUUCAAAAAAAAAUCUCAACCCUUUAUUCAUUCUUCAUUCAUCAAUUUCUUCUUCAAAAUCCUCAACAAUGUUCUUCUACAACUUUUUCUCCCGUUUCUCAACAACCAUUUCCCGAACCUCACUUCUCUCUGCUCCGCGAAUCCCCCAACAACAAUUCCAUAACUUCUCCAAUCAAUUUCAUUCCCUACUCAUUGCCUAAUCUACAAACAAGGUUAAUUUCUAAACUUGCUAAUCAAUUUUCAUUUUUUCGUGUUUUUUCAGGCUGUAGGGUUUUGCUAGGGUUUUAGGUUUUUUCUCAGAAUUUGACAAGCUGCAGGGAUGCUGAAAUUUUUUGAUGGAUGCCUAAAGUGAUAGAUUUGAUGCCACCUCAAGUGAGUAAUGGUAUUUGCUGAGUUAUAAGGAAUAGCUUUAACAAGGCACUGGAUCAAAAUGAUAUCUUAAUUUUCCCCGCAGCUCCUUCAGCUGCUUAUAUCAUCGAUUUCUGUCUCAUACCUCUGAUUAUAUAUUAACAAGACAAAUAGAGUUUGGUUCGUGUUUUGAUUACUGCUAUUGAACUUCAUCAAUAUGAUGCAUUCGUCAUCAUCUUGUCACGAAGCUAAGUCAUGGAGUUAGUAAUGGGCAAGGACCUAGUAUUAGAUGGUCAUGGGCAUGGAACUCAUCAUGGAGAUGCAUAGUCUUAAUUAUAGUGUUUAUCAAUGAAGAAUGUAUACUUAGAUAUUUAAUUUUGAUGGCUUGAGUUAAGAUUCAAUAGCAUACUGGCAAGUCAUAUGCACAAUUAGGAAUCCACAACUUGUGUUGUCAUGUUGAGCUUUUGCUUUAUGUGAAGGUUCUGGUGAUCAUUUUGAUAUGAAAGUGAUGUAUAAACUUCUAUUUGAAAA